CACGAAGUUAGCCGGGGCUUCUUCUCCGGUUACCGUCAUUAUCUUCACCGGUGAAAGAGCUUUACAACCCUAAGGCCCUCAUCACUCACGCGGCAUGGCUGGAUCAGGCUUGCGCCCAUUGUCCAAUAUUCCCCACUGCUGCCUCCCGUAGGAGUUUGGGCCGUGUCUCAGUCCCAAUGUGGCUGAUCAUCCUCUCAGACCAGCUAUGGAUCGUCGCCUUGGUAGGCCUUUACCCCACCAACUAGCUAAUCCAACGCGGGCUCAUCCAUCCCCGAUAAAUCUUUCCCCCGUAGGGCGUAUGCGGUAUUAAUUCCAGUUUCCCAGAGCUAUUCCGCAGAGAUGGGUAGAUUCCCACGCGUUACUCACCCGUCUGCCACUCUCCUUGCGGAGCGUUCGACUUGCAUGUGUUAAGCCUGCCGCCAGCGUUCGUUCUCGAGCCAGGAUCAAACUC
rnacentral:rRNA from 1 species